rnacentral:snoRNA from 1 species
CCGUCUUAUGCCGCGCUCGAUCAACCAUCACGCCAGAGGGUUGAUCUUGAGCUGGAUGCCCGGACACCUUUCGGUGUCCCAGUACUAGACGAGAAUAAGUUGGCAACGUUUUUUGAGUACGGAACCUUUUAGUGAUCUCACCAGAUGGAGGCUUCCGUAAUUUAUCUGUUGUUACAUUU